AGGGAAUCUUCGGCAAUGGACGGAAGUCUGACCGAGCAACGCCGCGUGAGUGAAGAAGGUUUUCGGAUCGUAAAGCUCUGUUGUAAGAGAAGAACGAGUGUGAGAGUGGAAAGUUCACACUGUGACGGUAUCUUACCAGAAAGGGACGGCUAACUACGUGCCAGCAGCCGCGGUAAUACGUAGGUCCCGAGCGUUGUCCGGAUUUAUUGGGCGUAAAGCGAGCGCAGGCGGUUAGAUAAGUCUGAAGUUAAAGGCUGUGGCUUAACCAUAGUACGCUUUGGAAACUGUUUAACUUGAGUGCAAGAGGGGAGAGUGGAAUUCCAUGUGUAGCGGUGAAAUGCGUAGAUAUAUGGAGGAACACCGGUGGCGAAAGCGGCUCUCUGGCUUGUAACUGACGCUGAGGCUCGAAAGCGUGGGGAGCAAACAGGAUUAGAUACCCUGGUAGUCCACGCCGUAAACGAUGAGUGCUAGGUGUUAGACCCUUUCCGGGGUUUAGUGCCGCAGCUAACGCAUUAAGCACUCCGCCUGGGGAGUACGACCGCAAGGUUGA
rnacentral:rRNA from 1 species